GAUGAACGCUGGCGGCGUGCCUAAUACAUGCAAGUCGAGCGAACGGACGAGAAGCUUGCUUCUCUGAUGUUAGCGGCGGACGGGUGAGUAACACGUGGAUAACCUACCUAUAAGACUGGGAUAACUUCGGGAAACCGUAGCUAAUACCGGAUAAUAUUUUGAACCGCAUGGUUCAAAAGUGAAAGACGGUCUUGCUGUCACUUAUAGAUGGAUCCGCGCUGCAUUAGCUAGUUGGUAAGGUAACGGCUUACCAAGGCAACGAUGCAUAGCCGACCUGAGAGGGGGAUCGGCCACACUGGAAAUGAAGCACGGUCCAGACUCCUACGGGAGGCAGCAGUAGGGAAUCUUCCGCAAUGGGCGAAAGCCUGACGGAGCAACGCCGCGUGAGUGAUGAAGGUCCUCGGAUCGUAAAACUCUGUUAUUAGGGAAGAACAUAUGUGUAAGUAACUGUGCACAUCUUGACGGUACCUAAUCAGAAAGCCACGGCUAACUACGUG
rnacentral:rRNA from 1 species